UGAUGAUGAUGAUGAUGAUGAUGAUGACGAUGAUUAUAAUGAUGUAGAACAUCCGCACUUUUCCUUCCCCUCCUGUCACCCGGCAACUCAUCAUCAACCUCAUCAUCCUCUUCAUAG
rnacentral:miRNA from 1 species